UUCUUCAUAUAUGUAUAUAUAAUAUAAUAUUAUAAUGUCCAGUUUAGAUUUCUCUCUCAAAUAAACAACCCAUCAAACCCACUUCUCACUGUAACUUGCCAAUUAUCAGAAGAUCAUGCAACGUCUAUCCUUUUAACCGUUUAUAAAAAAAAAAAAUUAGUUUCCAUUAAAAUCUGUUUCCCUUUUAUACUUUAUUUCACUUUACCUAUUCUCCCUGGAACAUUUACGUGCAUGCAAGGUUUCCCAACCAUAAAACUAAAUGGGUCCUUCACUGAUAUAUACAAUUCCAUAUUAAUCACUGAAUCACCUCUCUGCUCAUUAUCUACAACACACAAACUCACUACGGCCCUUAAACUAAAACCUUCUCCUUGCCAAAUAUUGUUUUCUUCUUGUUCCCUACUGUUAGUAUAGUUCUCGCGACUAUCAUACAAGAGUUUUCUACUGCUCUCAUUCUAAUUUAAAAGAUCAACUCAACCAUGUUUUAUCCUGCAUCGUUUUCAGUUUUCAUCAAAUACAUCUACCCAUUAGUUGUUGUCCUUCACAACUACACUAACUGAUUUAAAAAGUAUAGAAACCUCUCAGUAUAAACUAAACUUCCAGGAAUCCCAACACCCUCAUUCACGCGUCAACCAAAAACAUAAACCCAUCUUUUACUUUAGUCAUAACAUAUAUAUAAACUCAAAUUUCCUGUAUCCUUGUCUGACAUACUACUACCCCUUCUCCCAAAAACUUUCCUUCAUGUGGCCAAAAUACCAGUAAUCCUCACACUACAUGGCUUAUAGUAAUGUAUCUAUCACAUACCUAUUAUUCCUACCAUCUAACUUUCUAACCCCUAUAAUCGUCAUACGACCCAAUGCCAUAAUAUCAGCUUUAAAGAUACAUUAACCAGUGACCAUAGAACCAUAAUACAGAGAUAAUUACGAAACACAAAAGAACACAAUUAUGAACAUUACCACCUCAUUGGUGCAACUACAUACAACCCAAAAAUAUCAUACUAUAAUCACAUGCAUCAUGUUCAAUCAAUACAUCAAGAAAUUAGCUUCCCUUACCUUAGAUAAAUCCUAGCUUUCUUUCUUGACCCAAGAUUGAGAAUCCAAAACUUUCACCUCCUUCACGUUAACGUUCUUGCUUCCAAGAAAACUCCAAAAUACUCUUUUGAUUUUACUAUCUCCUAGUGCACACACUACUUUAUCCUCUUUCCGUUAAACUCUGCCUUCUCCUCAUUUUUCCAGAGCCCCUCCCUUAAAUAAACCACCCAAUCCACUAACCCCU
rnacentral:lncRNA from 1 species